CUGCCACUGCCCUGGGCAGUGCUUGGCAGAUUGCAAGGCUGUGAUUGGCUCCUGUGAAGAGGGUGGAAAAAGGGGUAUAAAAAGUGAAACUAAACAUGAUCUGGGUGACUUUUUCCUGGAUUCAUUCUGCCUUGUAGAGCUGGGCUGAAGGUAGAUUCAUUGAGAGGAUUCACUCUGCAUUGGUGAACCAAGCUAAUGGUAGAUUCUUCUUGGAUGUGGCCACAUCGUCCUAGACUUGUCCAUGACUGGAGCUUUUUACACUGGAGAGGUUUGCUGGGUGAAUGACUCAGGCUGAAGGAAGAGGCCUGCUUUGGUGGACUUCUGGUUGACGACACACCUUGUGGAGAUUGGGACACUUGAGAGAACCCUUGCUGGGAGCUGAAUCAAACUUCACCGGAUCAGCACUUAGGGUGAUAUUAUUGAGAAGAUGUUCUAAUAUUCUGGGACUUGAUGAAAUCAGCACAAUGACAUCUAACAGAAAAGACUGGAAUACAACUGUCCAUAAGAAAUGACAAACUGUUUAAUUUUGGAAAAAUAUGGAAAGACCUACAUCAAGUUAUGAAGAGUGAAAAGAAUGGAACCAAGAGCAUUAUAUAUAGCAACAGAAAUAUUUUUUGAAGAAUGACUUUUCCAGUUCCAGAGAAAGAACUGAUAAACUGAAAGAAUUGACUCCAGGCCACCCCUGAAAAAAAUGGAAGAAGAGCAUGCAAAUAUCCCCCCCUUCUGAAUCAAUCCUCUCAAGGAGAAAGGUACCUUCCAACCAAGCAGAAAAUUCCACCCUGAGACUCCACUCUCUCACUGGGACCACUGUUUCAGAGAAGAACUCAACCCUGACACCUCAACUGGCCCUUGGGACUUCUCCUACCUCUCCUACCUUGACUCUUCUUGGUUACUCUUUCCCAUUCCUUUUCUACUUACCCUUUAGGUACUGCCUUCCUCCAUUAGAAUUUGCCUUGAGGGCAGAGACUGCCUUGGUUGCUACAUUUUUUUAA
rnacentral:lncRNA from 1 species